rnacentral:rRNA from 1 species
GAUGAACGCUGGCGGCGUGCCUAAUACAUGCAAGUCGAGCGAACAGACGAGGAGCUUGCUCCUCUGACGUUAGCGGCGGACAGGUGAGUAACACGUGGAUAACCUACCUAUAAGACUGGGAUAACUUCGGGAAACCGGAGCUAAUACCAGAUAAUAUAUUGAACCGCAUGGUUCAAUAGUGAAAGACGGUUUUGCUGUCACUUAUAGAUGGAUCCGCGCCGCAUUAGCUAGUUGGUAAGGUAACGGCUUACCAAGGCAACGAUGCGUAGCCGACCUGAGAGGGUGAUCGGCCACACUGGAACUGAGACACGGUCCAGACUCCUACGGGAGGCAGCAGUAGGGAAUCUUCCGCAAUGGGCGAAAGCCUGACGGAGCAACGCCGCGUGAGUGAUGAAGGUCUUCGGAUCGUAAAACUCUGUUAUUAGGGAAGAACAAAUGUGUAAGUAACUAUGCACGUCUUGACGGUACCUAAUCAGAAAGCCACGGCUAACUACGUG